UCCUCCCCGCCGCCGCCCUCUCUCUCCCAGCUCUCCGCAGCCACCUCCCCUCCCCUUCUCCCUCUCCGCCUGCCUCCGCCGCCCCGCCCGCUCCCGCAGGAUCCAGAUCCGACGUGGGGGGCAGCGGCACCCCGUUCCUCCGCCCGGCUCUGCCCCAGAGCUCCACCAUGCCGCCCCUCUCCGCCCGACAUCACCCUGGCGCUCCUCAGCGAGGCCCCAGGCGUCGCAGCCUAGGAUCUCCGGCACCGUCUCGAGCUUGGACGCCGCUGCAGCGUCCCAGACGCAACCCUAGCCCUCUCAUUCUCUUUCCCUCCUCCACAUCACUACAGCCGCCGCCCGCCCCCCCCCCCCCCCCCCCCCCCCCUUGAUCCGAAAGGGCGAGCUGCUCCUCGCCGAGGCUCGCGAAGCUCGGGAUACGGCUACGGUGGAGUGGUGGUCGGCAUGGGGGCGAGCCCAUCUGCGCUGCAGCCUUCGUGGCUGCGCACGUGAAAUGGUUGCGGCAGACUCGGCACACGGAACCUUGCCCCGAGUAGCCACAUGGCUAACGAUGCCUGGGCGCUUGGCCUCGCCGCCUGGGAAAAGGACGCCGCCUUCGAGGGGGACCUUGGGCGCUGCUUGCCUGCACCACAGGCCGCGCAUCCGACGCCUCUAAGUGUCAUAGCUGCAGCUCGCUUCCAUGCUCGCAGGGGUAUUCCUCCCCGGCUGACCUCGACGAUGUACGGAUUCCUCGAUGAUUUGUUCUAGAGCUUGGAUGUGGAGCCUUUUAGUUUCAUCGAGGAUCUUCAGCAUUGGCAUGGAGACUGCUGCCGUCAGAGAUUGAGGCCAAGGCUGUUGUUUCCUUCAUGGUUGGCUAAUGGCUAUCCUAAACAUAGUUUACAUUGCUGAUUACCUGCUGGCCGUAUAGCAAAAUGUUAUAUAGUGCAAGGUCCAUUGCUGCUUGCCUAGGAACUGCUUGGGGAUUCAUCCUAUCGUCUCACCCAUCCUCUACGCUCCACUGCUGACAACCCAAGCCUUUUAUGAAUUAGGUGCUGCACACAAUCAACAGUAACCGGUAACAAGACUUGAGGUUCAGCUAUCCUGGAAUAAGUUUAGAAAUUCAGAGAGUUAACAACCUGCUUUUCUUUGGUCAAGAUGCCCAAGGGUUUCAGCUAGACCUAUAGUAGAAAUUCUGUAUUUGCUUCCUUCAAACGGCGGUUGUGCCCACAAAUGAGUUGUAUUUCAAUUUGUGGGAGAUCUGAAUGAAUAUGGAUUGGCCUAAUCUAGCCAUGAAAUUUUUGAUCGAUGCAAGUGGGAAUCCUUCUUAGAUUGGCAAUGAUUGGAAGGUCUUGGAAUUGAUUCAAUUUGUUGGUAUUAGAAUUUGCAUUGAAAGACAAGAUGAUGGCGUACAACUAUGAUAGAUUGCUUACCUUUCAAGUGUUUAUGCUCUUGCCCUCUACUGACAGUAUUUACGCACGUUUCAUGGUAUAUAUUUCUUUUUCUUGGGCUCAAAUAUCGCUUUGAUGUCAGGGCGAAUCGCUUGCAAGUCCCACCAUUGAAGGUGUGUGGUGUCAUCACAUCUUGUUUGUUUUCUACUAAUUUUCCGGGCAAUGGAUGUAUAUUCUUCAGUUGCAAAUAAUGAAAGAAAACAAUAAUAACCUCACUGAGCUCAAUUGUCGUCUCUGUUCUGGAGAAUGUUUGAGCUACAGUUUGCCAAAAAAUUAAACACCACUUACAAGAAAAUUGAACUGUAUGCAGAUUCAAAGAUGUUUGUCUCAAUGAGCUCAAUUACCGCCUCUGUUCUUUUUGGGGGGUAUUUGUGUGGUGUUCAGUGCACUGAAGAUCCAAAAAGGUGGAUUAUCAAUGUAUCUCUAGAGAUCUCGUAUGUUUUCGCUUCACUUUUCAGGGAACAUUUAGGAAAAAAAUAUAGAGAGGCGUUCUGCUAGUUGCUGUUAAAAAGCUUGAUGAUGAAGAACCAUCAUCAGUGGCUGAUGUGCUAGACUUACAAUAACCAAAGGACGAGGCAAAUUAUUACAAUCAUUUGAUGGGUAUUGCCGACAGUCUCCCCGCUUUAGCUUCGCUUGCAUUCUUAGGAAAAGAUUGUGAUUAUGACAUUUUUUUGCACUGUGUGUAUGUAAUUUAAGUUAACAAGUAAUGGAGUGCAUAUGCCCAUUUUAUGUAGAAAAAUUAUGACUGCUAUAUAAGAUUUGGUGUGCCUAAUCUUUACUUU